rnacentral:rRNA from 11 species
UGGUUUUUUCAUGUUGUCAAAGAGUUGAACAAUGAAAAUAGAUGGCGAGUGCCUGAUCGAAUUGAUCGGGUCAUGUAGGAACAAGGUUCAAGUCUAUUGGUCUGUUAGGAUGCCUCAGCUGCAUACAUCGCUGCACUUCCACUUGACACCUAUCGUAAUAAUAAACGGCUCGUCUCGCCGUGACCUUC